rnacentral:ncRNA from 1 species
ACCGGGGUAGCCGAAAACCGAUGAAACAGAGUAGGCA